rnacentral:rRNA from 1 species
ACGCACGCUGGCGGCGUGCUUAACACAUGCAAGUCGAACGGAAAGGCCCUGCUUUUGUGGGGUGCUCGAGUGGCGAACGGGUGAGUAACACGUGAGUAACCUGCCCUUGACUUUGGGAUAACUUCAGGAAACUGGGGCUAUACCGGAUAGGAGCUCCUGCUGCAUGGUGGGGGUUGGAAAGUUUCGGCGGUUGGGGAUGGACUCGCGGCUUAUCAGCUUGUUGGUGGGGUAGUGGCUUACCAAGGCUUUGACGGGUAGCCGGCCUGAGAGGGUGACCGGCCACAUUGGGACUGAGAUACGGCCCAGACUCCUUCGGGAGGCAGCAGUGGGGAAUAUUGCACAAUGGGCGGAAGCCUGAUGCAGCAACGCCGCGUGCGGGAUGACGGCCUUCGGGUUGUAAACCGCUUUCGCCUGUGACGAAGCGUGAGUGACGGUAAUGGGUAAAGAAGCACCGGCUAACUACGUG